AUAGUACUCCCUCCGUCCGGAAAUACUUGUCCUAAAAAUGUAUAAAACGGAUGUAUCUAUAACUAAAAUAAGUUUAGAUACAUCUAUUUUUAGGAUAAGUAUUUCCGGAUGGAGGGAGUACAUU
rnacentral:pre_miRNA from 1 species